rnacentral:rRNA from 1 species
UACGUAGGUGACAAGCGUUGUCCGGAUUUACUGGGCGUAAAGAGCGCGCAGGCGGUCGAUCAAGUCGAGUGUGAAAGCCCCCGGCUCAACUGGGGAGGGUCAUUCGAUACUGAUCGACUCGAAGGCAGGAGAGGGUAGUGGAAUUCCCGUGUAGUGUGGAAAUGCGUAGAUAUCGGGAGGAACACCAGUGGCGAAGGCGACUACCUGGCCUGUUCUUGACGCUGAGGCGCGAAAGCUAGGGGAGCAAACGGG